UUUAGUCAGGCAACGAGCAAGACCCGUGCCCACAGUUGCCAGCAUACCCUCCGGGGUGAUGGGCACACUGUGGGGACCGCCGCUGCUAAAGCGGAGGAAGGCGCGGGCUACGGUAGGUCAGUAUGCCCCGAAUCAUCCGGGCUACACGCGGGCUACAAUGGUUGGGACAAUGGGCACCUACACCGAGAGGUGAUGGUAAUCUCCUAAACCCAGCCUUAGUUCGGAUUGAGGGCUGCAACUCGCCCUCACGAAGCCGGAAUCCGUAGUAAUCGCGUAUCAAUAUCACGCGGUGAAUACGUCCCUGCUCCUUGCACA
rnacentral:rRNA from 1 species